GUUUUAUAUUUAUAGAGAUAAGAACCGUCAACGACUCAUAGUUCAAUAUAUUUUUUUAUAGUUCACCGGGCGCCUCUGAUGAAGCAGAACAUGCUAACCCGUCCGGAACAUCUUAAUUGACCCAAGUUUUUUUUUGCUAGGACUUAAUUCAUCACGGUUGCUCAGGCAAUCUUGUGUUCUUUAAGCACUUUUCCUCUUUCUUGUGUCUA
rnacentral:lncRNA from 1 species